rnacentral:piRNA from 1 species
UGAGAGCAACCGCCAAGUACCCCAGCA